UACGGAGGGAGCUAGCGUUGUUCGGAAUUACUGGGCGUAAAGCGCACGUAGGCGGCUUUGUAAGUUAGAGGUGAAAGCCCGGAGCUCAACUCCGGAACUGCCUUUAAGACUGCAUCGCUUGAAUCCAGGAGAGGUGAGUGGAAUUCCGAGUGUAGAGGUGAAAUUCGUAGAUAUUCGGAAGAACACCAGUGGCGAAGGCGGCUCACUGGACUGGUAUUGACGCUGAGGGUGCGAAAGCGUGGGGAGCAAACAGG
rnacentral:rRNA from 1 species